GACAGAAGACGGUCAUUCAUCCGCUGACUGACUUCAUAAAUGGCUUGAUUUAAAAGAAAAUUUUGACUUUGCAUUCAAAUUUAUUUGUCUGCAGGACGACGAAGGACAUUCAGAGUGUCAUAGCAACGCUGUCUGGGAAUAUGUCGACAGCCAAAGUGUUACUGAGUCUCGUCUUUCUUCCAAGUGUUUUGGCAGUUUGUCUUCCUCAACAAGAAGGAGUCUCCAUUACCACACCAAUCCAGAAUGAGGCACUCAGCGGAUCUUGUUUGCAAGUCCCGUGUAGCUUUAAGGAGCAAAAUGGAUUUUCUUCCAUAGGAAAACGUGCGGGAGUGUGGAUUAAAAGCGGAAACAAUCUAUUCUCAACGAGUCAGGGAGUUAACAAAUAUCCAAUAGAAAUUACUGGAGACCUGGACCAAUUCAAAUGCACCACUCUGUUUUCCAACGUAAACACAAAACUUGCGGGGAAGUACUUCUUAAGACUUGACAACAAAAAGAGCAUGGCAACAGCUUGUGCAGAACCACUGCAGGUAACCGUGAGAGAUUCUCCUUGGAGUCCUAGCAUUAAUGUUCCCUCUGACCUGAAGGAGCAUCAGUCUGUCACUGUAACCUGCUCAGCUUUCACUCCCUGUCCACACUCACCUCCUCAACUCACCUGGAAUCUC